CCUACGGGGGGCUGCAGUCGAGAAUCAUUCACAAUGGUGGAAACCCUGAUGGUGCGACGCCGCGUGGGGGAAUGAAGGUCUUCGGAUUGUAAACCCCUGUCAUGUGGGAGCAAAUUAAAAAGAUAGUACCACAAGAGGAAGAGACGGCUAACUCUGUUCCAGCAGCCGCGGUAAUACAGAGGUCUCAAGCGUUGUUCGGAAUCACUGGGCGUAAAGCGUUCGUAGGCUGUUUCGUAAGUCGUGUGUGAAAGGCGCGGGCUCAACCCGCGGACGGCACAUGAUACUGCGAGACUAGAGUAAGGGAGGGGGAACCGGAAUGCUCGGUGUAGAAGUGAAAUGCGUAGAGAUCGAGAGGAACACUCGUGGCGAAGGCGGGUUCCUGGACAUUAACUGACGCUGAGGCACGAAGGCCAGGGGAGCGAAAGGGAUUAGAUACCCGAGUAGUC
rnacentral:rRNA from 1 species